rnacentral:rRNA from 1 species
AGAGUUUGAUCAUGGCUCAGGACGAACGCUGGCGGCGUGCCUAAUACAUGCAAGUAGAACGCUGAAGGAGGAGCUUGCUCUUCUGGAUGAGUUGCGAACGGGUGAGUAACGCGUAGGUAACCUGCCUGGUAGCGGGGGAUAACUAUUGGAAACGAUAGCUAAUACCGCAUAAUAGCAGUUGUUGCAUGACAACUGUUUGAAAGGUGCAAUUGCACCACUACCAGAUGGACCUGCGUUGUAUUAGCUAGUUGGUGGGGUAACGGCUCACCAAGGCGACGAUACAUAGCCGACCUGAGAGGGUGAUCGGCCACACUGGGACUGAGACACGGCCCAGACUCCUACGGGAGGCAGCAGUAGGGAAUCUUCGGCAAUGGACGGAAGUCUGACCGAGCAACGCCGCGUGAGUGAAGAAGGUUUUCGGAUCGUAAAGCUCUGUUGUAAGAGAAGAACGAGUGUGAGAGUGGAAAGUUCACACUGUGACGGUAUCUUACCAGAAAGGGACGGCUAACUACGUGCCAGCAGCCGCGGUAAUACGUAGGUCCCGAGCGUUGUCCGGAUUUAUUGGGCGUAAAGCGAGCGCAGGCGGUUAGAUAAGUCUGAAGUUAAAGGCUGUGGCUUAACCAUAGUACGCUUUGGAAACUGUUUAACUUGAGUGCAAGAGGGGAGAGUGGAAUUCCAUGUGUAGCGGUGAAAUGCGUAGAUAUAUGGAGGAACACCGGUGGCGAAAGCGGCUCUCUGGCUUGUAACUGACGCUGANGCUCGAAAGCGUGGGGAGCAAACAGGANUA